rnacentral:rRNA from 1 species
UCGGGAAUUUUGGGCAAUGGGCGAAAGCCUGACCCAGCAACGCCGCGUGAAGGAUGAAGUAUUUCGGUAUGUAAACUUCGAAAGAAUAGGAAGAAUAAAUGACGGUACUAUUUAUAAGGUCCGGCUAACUACGUGCCAGCAGCCGCGGUAAUACGUAGGGACCAAGCGUUGUUCGGAUUUACUGGGCGUAAAGGGCGCGUAGGCGGCAAUUCAAGUCAUCUGUGAAAUCUCCGGGCUUAACUCGGAACGGUCAGAUGAUACUGCUUUGCUAGAGUGCAGAAGGGGCAAUCGGAAUUCUUGGUGUAGCGGUGAAAUGCGUAGAUAUCAAGAGGAACACCUGAGGUGAAGACGGGUUGCUGGGCUGACACUGACGCUGAGGCGCGAAAGCCAGGGGAGCAAACGGGGNUUAGAUACCCUGGUAGUCCCUGAGCGGGC